UACGUAGGGCGCAAGCGUUAUCCGGAAUUAUUGGGCGUAAAGAGCUCGUAGGUGGUUUGUCGCGUUGUUCGUGAAAACUCACAGCUUAACUGUGGGCGUGCGGGCGAUACGGGCAGACUAGAGUACUGCAGGGGAGACUGGAAUUCCUGGUGUAGCGGUGGAAUGCGCAGAUAUCAGGAGGAACACCGGUGGCGAAGGCGGGUCUCUGGGCAGUAACUGACGCUGGAGGAGCGAAAGCGUGGGGAGCGAACAGG
rnacentral:rRNA from 1 species